rnacentral:rRNA from 1 species
GAUGAACGCUAGCUACAGGCUUAACACAUGCAAGUCGAGGGGCAGCACAGUGUAGCAAUACACGGGUGGCGACCGGCGCACGGGUGCGUAACGCGUAUCCAACCUUCCCGUUACUCAGGGAUAGCCUUCCGAAAGGGAGAUUAAUACCUGAUGGUGUUGAAAUUCCGCAUGUAUUGAAACUAAAGAUUUAUCGGUAUCGGAUGGGGAUGCGUGACAUUAGAUAGUAGGCGGGGUAACAGCCCACCUAGCCGACGAUGGAUAGGGGUUCUGAGAGGAAGGUCCCCCACAUUGGAACUGAGACACGGUCCAAACUCCUACGGGAGGCAGCAGUGAGGAAUAUUGCACAAUGGGGGAAACCCUGAUGCAGCAACGCCGCGUGAGUGAAGAAGUAUUUCGGUAUGUAAAGCUCUAUCAGCAGGGAAGAAAAUGACGGUACCUGACUAAGAAGCUCCGGCUAAAUACGUG